GACGAACGCUGGCGGCGUGCUUAACACAUGCAAGUCGAACGGAAAGGCCUCUUUCGGGGGGUACUCGAGUGGCGAACGGGUGAGUAACACGUGAGUAACCUGCCCUUGACUUUGGGAUAACUUCAGGAAACUGGGGCUAAUACCGGAUAGGAGCUCCUGCUGCAUGGUGGGGGUUGGAAAGUUUCGGCGGUUGGGGAUGGACUCGCGGCUUAUCAGCUUGUUGGUGGGGUAGUGGCUUACCAAGGCUUUGACGGGUAGCCGGCCUGAGAGGGUGACCGGCCACAUUGGGACUGAGAUACGGCCCAGACUCCUACGGGAGGCAGCAGUGGGGAAUAUUGCACAAUGGGUGGAAGCCUGAUGCAGCAACGCCGUCUGCGGGAUGACGGCCUUCGGGUUGUAAACCGCUUUCGCUCAUGACGAAGCUUUGUGUGACGGUAGUGGGUAAAGAAGCACCGGCUAACUACGUG
rnacentral:rRNA from 1 species